rnacentral:sRNA from 1 species
UUAAUUAUAAAGUACCAAAGACAGUAGGAGCUAAAUUUUAGCAUAACUGUAUUCCUACCGAGGACUAAGAAUUCAUAUUAAAGGAUUUUAAGGUCUUUGUGUCUUUGCAAAGACCUUUUAA